CUUUUAUCAGGUUACAUCCUUUUCUGCAAUGGAGAAAAAGCACAUGCAUGUUCGCCACAGCAGAGUUUUGAACUCCCGUUAUUUAUCCAACUGCAGAGGUUCAGAGAGGAGCUUCCAUCUGUGUGUUAUUCUGCUUUUUGGAGUGUUCUGCAUCUGCCUCCUCAUUGGACUUCUGAUCGUGAAUAAUCAGUACAAAUAUGACAAAGGGCGAUU